rnacentral:rRNA from 1 species
CGCAUCUGUGCAUGCAGCAUAUCAAUAAGCGGAGGAAAAGAAACUAACAAGGAUUCCCUCAGUAACGGCGAGUGAAGCGGGAAGAGCUCAAAUUUGAAAUCUUCAAGGUUUUACCUUGACGAAUUGUAGUUUAAAGAAGUGUUUUCUGCUGAAGUUUUGGUAAAAGUUCUUUGGAAUAGGACAUCAUAGAGGGUGAGAAUCCCGUAUUUGACCAUUAUUUUCAGCUUUGUGAUACACUUUCAAAGAGUCGGAUUGUUUGGGAAUGCAGUCCAAAAUGGGUGGUAAAUUUCAUCUAAAGCUAAAUAUUGGCGAGAGACCGAUAGCGAACAAGUACCGUGAGGGAAAGAUGAAAAGAACUUUGAAAAGAGAGUUAAAUAGUACGUGAAAUUGUCAAAAGGGAAGCGUUUAACACCAGUGUUGUUUUCUGAAAAUCAACCUCUGUUAGCUUUAUGCAUGUUUGUUUAGACCUAAUCAGCUAUCUUGCAUGUUCUAUUGUUUGCAGUGGUGCACUUUUCAGUUUACAGGUCAACAUCAGUUUUUUUUACCGUAAAAAAGUUAAAGAAAGGUAGCUCAUGGCUCCGGUCGUGAGUGUUACUAGUCUUUUUCCUAUGCGGUAGGAGAGACUGAGGUCUGCAGUGUAGGCUAUUUGGCUAGAUACUCAGGUGCUAUGUGAUACCAUUUCAUAAACAACUUGUUGAUUAUGUUUUGUCUAUUGCAUACUCGCUUGUACUAUCAUACCUACGCUUAGGAUGUUGACGAUCAGCUGAGCGCG